rnacentral:rRNA from 1 species
ACAUCCAGAGAAUUUAGCAGAGAUGCUUUAGUGCCUUCGGGAACUCUGAGACAGGUGCUGCAUGGCUGUCGUCAGCUCGUGUUGUGAAAUGUUGGGUUAAGUCCCGCAACGAGCGCAACCCUUAUCCUUUGUUGCCAGCACGUAAUGGUGGGAACUCAAAGGAGACUGCCGGUGAUAAACCGGAGGAAGGUGGGGAUGACGUCAAGUCAUCAUGGCCCUUACGAGUAGGGCUACACACGUGCUACAAUGGCGCAUACAAAGAGAAGCGACCUCGCGAGAGCAAGCGGACCUCAUAAAGUGCGUCGUAGUCCGGAUUGGAGUCUGCAACUCGACUCCAUGAAGUCGGAAUCGCUAGUAAUCGUAAAUCAGAAUGUUACGGUGAAUACGUUCCCGGGCCCUGUACACACCGCCCGUCACACCAUGGGAGUGGGUUGCAAAAGAAGUAGAUAGCUUAACCUUCGGGAGGGCGUUUACCACUUUGUGAUUCAUGACUGGGGUGAAGUCGUAACAAGGUAAGCGUAGUGCU